AGAGUUUGAUCAUGGCUCAGGAUUAACGCUGGCGGUAUGCCUAACACAUGCAAGUCGAACGGAAUACUAAUUAAGAGAAUCUCACACUAGUGAGAGGUUCUCACGAGUAGUAUUUAGUGGCGGACGGGUGAGUAACACGUUGGAACCUGCCCCGAAGUGGGGAAUAACUGCUCGAAAGAGUAGCUAAUACCCCAUAGUAUCCGGUUUAUCCGGAUUAAAGAUUUAUCGCUUCGGGAGGGGCCUGCGUCUGAUUAGCUAGUUGGUGAGGUAAAAGCUCACCAAGGCGACGAUCAGUAGCUGGUUCGAGAGGAUGACCAGCCACACUGGGACUGAGAUACGGCCCAGACUCCCACGGGAGGCAGCAGUGAGGAAUCUUCCACAAUGGGCGCAAGCCUGAUGGAGCAAUACCGCGUGCAGGAAGACGCUUUUCGGAGUGUAAACUGCUUUUGUCGUCGAAGAUUAUGACUGUAGACGAAGAAUAAGGACCGGCUAACUACGUG
rnacentral:rRNA from 1 species